ensembl:lncRNA
UCAAUUUCAUUUAUUUAUAAUAUAAUUUUAAAUAUAAGAUUAGAGUGAAUAAGAAAAGGCUACCUGAAGAAUUGCAAUAAAUAAUUUCAAUGUUGACCCUAGAAAUCUUUUUGCAUAAGUGCAGAUUUCAAACAGUGCCAAAUAAUUGGAUUAAGUAUGUAAUGACUACAAAUGUUGUUAAUUAAUAUAGUUAAUUAGCUAUCAUAACAAGCCAGGUUAGCUACUGUACAUUAUUAGGCUCCUGUUUUUCCAUCUGCCACUUUCACCUUGUUUGAUGUAAGUUGUAAUGUCCAGAGAAGCCGUAAGCAUGUGGCUCCGCUUGACGUUCUUUGCAUCGAGUUGUGUCAAGUGGUCGAAACACAAAGAACAGUGACUUGUACAGCUUUUAAUAGCCUAUCCUGAUGGACAUUUACAAUGCCUAGAGAGCUAGUGGAGCAGCAGCUAAAGCCAUCAGGGCUGAGGCGAGACUGCCGUCCCCCCCACAGCCUUCAACCUCAAACACAAACGACAUCUCUGACAGGAGCAAUGAAAAACAGCUGGGAGAAAGAAGGCCAGAGAAAAAGCAAAUGCCUUUUAGCUGCACUGGCCAUUCAUCUUUCCCGUUCCCUCCUCCUUCCUUCUGGUCUACCACAGCCUUUAAGAUUCACGCUCGUCACCAUCCAAAAUGCAGCAUCGUCAUAAUGGCAGGAAUGUGGAGAACAUCCAUUCAUGCCUAAGCCUGCUGCCAUUCUCUGGGAGCGCUGCUUGGCUUUCACUUAAAUGGUGCAGAAAACAAGAAGCAUUACUUAAACCCAUUAUGUAAAACUCAAAACACCAGGUCUGGCGAUUAAAGUGGUAAAUGAGAGUUUGUUUAUGGCUGGGGCUCUGUGCUGAACAAGGUCCAAAGCUUCAGGUGGAGCUGGCAGGCUGGGCAAGGUUUCCUCCAUUCCAGAGCGUCGUGUGGGCACGAGCACCUGGCAGAGCUGCCAGAUGUGGUAGCAGCCUCUCCUAAUCGCUUAUAAAAGAUGAAUAAUUAAAUAACACAUAGGACAGAGGUAAAGUAUUCCAAUGAAAUCCAUCAUAACUAUUAGCUAUGGUGCAGAAACAGUAGUUUUCUUUCUUCCUUUAGGAACAAUACACAUUAAUCAACAUCUGUAUUAGUGAUAUCUGUAUUAUCAACAUCUGCUGUACCUUGAUAGAUUGAUGUUUCAUUUAAAAAAAGAACAAAUAGGAAAAAAAAUAUACUAAGCACACUAAAAUCACAUCACACACCACGGUAAAGACCCAAUUUAUUUGAGCAUUAUAAACAUGCUAUAUAACUAAAUAUCAUAUUGUCACUUCUAAUUUUCCAGCAUUUUUAUUAUAUAUGUUUUUUUGUAGAAUAAACCAAUGGUUUUCAAAUCUCUUAAAUAACUAGGAAGUUCAGCUCACUCGUGUGAUUCGCAGUGCAGAUUGGUUAAAAAUACUUUUCUUUACUAGCACUGCACAAUCACUUCUCAAUCAAAUUCUCUAAAUGCUGGAGAAGCAAGAACAAACUUGGAUUUUAAAUAAUAAUUCAACACAUGAGAAAUUCAUUAGUCUAAAAAUCCAUACUACUAUGGUUCUACAUAAGCAAUUUACAUCCAACCAAACUGCUUGGACAUAAAAUUACCUCUCAACAUCAUAUUUUGAACACAUGGACCCUAGGCUUUGUUAAAAAGUUUCACAGAACUCAAUAAUUAUUGAUUGUAACCACAAGACUGACCAAACUAUUAUGGUAAAAUUGUGUAUUUUGUUGUUGUAAAAAAGCCAGAGAUGGUCGUUAUGCUGUCUCUGACAUACUGUACUUAUCAGUGUGAACAUCUUGAACUAUAUGGCGUCUGCUGAUAAUACAGUGUGGGUUGUGACCACAUAAGGGUGUGAGAAGGUGUUAUCUGAGUGUAGGAUUGGGAGUCCUCCCUGGUGAACAAAGCUGUAAGUGUAAUACUCCAUCCAACCUUUAAAUACACAGACAUGAAUCCACAUUAACAGAAUUCUGAAGUUCUGAAAAACUGCAAACAUUACCUGUUUCUUUGUUUUUCUGCGAUUUUGAUUUGCUGUUGUUUUGUCUUACUUGCUGCUGUGUUAUCUGAUUUGCUGGCUUUUGAUUUUCUGUUAUUACUUUUGCUGAUGUGUUCUUGGUUUUGCUGUGGCGCUUUAGAUGAAUCGCAGUGUUUGAUUUGUUGUUGUGUUUCCAGAUUUCCAGUAAAGCACACCUGCAAUUUUGUUUAAAAUGAGAUCAGCGCCAUCAAUGUGAGUAAUUCUCCAAAAGCGAGCCUGUGCGGGUCCGUCCCCUUAUAGAAACUUGAAUGUUGUUAUUUUUGGCUGCUGCGAUCAAUCUUACAAUAUCCUGGUAGACUUUGAAAUGGGGGGCCGAUAUAAUGAGACACGGCCAGCCCCCCCCAACGAGCUUACCACUCCUGCCAAGUCUGAUGGCUUUCUAAUAGCAACACUGAGCUUUUCAUUCUUCUCAAGUAAGUUUCUCUCUCUCUCUCUCUCUCUCUCUCUCUCUCUCUCUCUCUCUCUCACUCUCCCCCAACUCUCUGUCUCUCUCUCUCUCUCUCUCUCUUUCUCCCUCUCUAAGUGGUUUCAGAUUCUGAGUCCUGUCUGGGGCACAAUCUUAAUCAGGUUUGCCAUGAUGAAGGAGAGAAGUCUAGUUUACACUGCGAAUGCUUG